rnacentral:rRNA from 1 species
AUUGAACGCUGGCGGCAGGCCUAACACAUGCAAGUCGAACGAGUGGCGGCCGGGUGAGUAAUGUCUGGGAAACUGCCUGAUGGAGGGGGAUAACUACUGGAAACGGUAGCUAAUACCGCAUACCAUCGGAUGUGCCCAUAUGGGAUUAGCUAGUAGGUGGGGUAACGGCUCACCUAGGCGACGAUCCCUAGCUGGUCUGAGAGGAUGACCAGCCACACUGGAACUGAGCAACUGGCCAGACUCCUACGGGAGGCAGCAGUGGGGAAUAUGGCACAAUGGGCGCAAGCCUGAUGCAGCCAGGCCGCGGGUGUGAAGAAGGCCUUCGGGUUGUAAAGCACGUUCAGCGGGGAGGCGUUACCCGCAGAAGAAGCACAGGCUAACUCCGUGCCAGCCGCCGCGGUAAUAC